rnacentral:misc_RNA from 1 species
AAGUCGUAACAAGGUAACCGUAGGUGAACCUGCGGUUGGAUCAUUACUAAAUGAUAGUCUGUUUACCGAGUUCCUACCUUUUGGUGGUCGAGCUUGGGCAAUAGACCAACUACACUUUGUGCAUUAUGCUGUUUUUUGGGCAGUUAGUUUAGCUGGUGAAAACCGGCGAGACUGCAGCCCAAACAUUAACAAACCAAUUUUAAUUUAUGCUGAACUUGAUUUAUAAUCAUAAACAACUUUUGACAACGGAUCUCUUGGCUCUC